GAAAGAAAAGUUUUAGAAGUUUUGAGGUAAAAAAUAGGAUUUUUGAAGAAUUCAAGGACCAAAAAGGAUAUUUUUAUUUUAAUGGGCAGCUGAGGGUCACAUGAUGAACUUCUCUAGUAGCUUAAAAAAAAAAAAGAAAUAAUUAAAUUACGAGCUUUUGAAUGAAAAAUUAACUUUUGAAGGGUUGAAUGACCAAAAUGAAAUUUGAUUUAAAAAGGCGGACAGCAGGUUGCACAUCCACGUGACUCCUCCAGCACGAUCUAUAAAAAAAAACAAUAAAUAAAAAAAGAAAAAGAAUAGAAAGAAGAUUCAGGAAAGAGGGAGAAAAGGGGGAAAAAAGGAAAAGAAAGAAAUAAAGAAAGAAAGAGGGAGAAGAAGAGAAUGGAAGAGGGAGGAAAGAUGGAUGGAUUUCUGGAGUUUUUCUAGCAAGAAAGAACACCAACAAAGGGGAAAAGAAGGAUUUUGGUCUAGGAUACAAGAAAUUAAAAAGAGAAAAGGGAGAAAGAAGGUGAAUAGUAGCAAAAGCAGGACUCUGCAAGGGUAGCAGCUCUCCCAUCCAUUCAAGAGGAGCUUUUGAAUAUGAAUUUA
rnacentral:misc_RNA from 1 species